GCCAAAUCCUUGACCACUGCAGCCUAAUGCGAUUCAUGUUGUAAUAGGAUAUCUCCACUAUCUUCUGCAGACUGAACAUGCGUGGAUGGUGUGGGGAAGCCAGCUCAUCCAUAGAGACAGCACACAGCCAUCGGACGAAGUCAACUAUUGCGUUUCCAUCCAGCCUAGUUGAUCCUGUAAAUAUCCUGUCUACUGCUACCACUACACUCUGGGAACUGGUCUCUCCCACUGACUCUUGAAUGCUCGCCAUAUGCCGUUUAUCAGCACCACUUCCAACAAGAUUACCUAAUCCGAGGCCCAUAAACUCUUCCCCUCCAGAUGCA
rnacentral:lncRNA from 1 species